GGUGGUAAAUUCCAUCUAAGGCUAAAUAUAAGUGAGAGACCGAUAGCAAACAAGUACCGUGAGGGAAAGAUGAAAAGAACUUUGAAAAUAGAGUUAACAGUACGUGAAAUUGCUGAAAGGGAAACGUUUGAAGUUAGUUUUGUAUUCGUUGGAUCAGCUUCGCAAGGAGUGUAUUCUGAUGAUAAGCAAGUCAACAUCAGUCUAUGAGUGUCGGAUAAGGGUUUUGAGGACGUAGCAAUUUAAUUGUGUUAUAACUUGAAGCUUGGAUACGAUGCUUUGGAUUGAGGAACGCGUAGUAAGCUUUGAGCGGAUUCGAAAGGAUCUCCUUACUAUGGAUGUUGGUGAAAUAACUUUAAGCGACCCGUCUUGAAACACGGACCAAGGAGUCUAACAUGCUUGCGAGUAUUAGGGUGUUGAAACCCGAAUGCGUAAUGAAAGUGAAUCUAAGAUGUGAUCCGCAAGGUGCAACAUCGGCCGGUCUGGAUCAUUUAUGUGAAGGUACUGAGCAAGAGCAAGUAUGUUAGGACCCGAAAGAUGGUGAACUAUGCCUGGAUAGGGUGAAGUCAGAGGAAACUCUGAUGGAAGCUCGUAGCGGUUCUGACGUGCAAAUCGAUCGUAGAAUCUGGGUAUAGGGGCGAAAGACUAAUCGAACCAUCUAGUAGCUG
rnacentral:rRNA from 1 species